rfam:Dipodomys ordii contig_5075, whole genome shotgun sequence.
GGGAAUGUGGUUCAGUGGUAGAGUACUUGCAUAGCAUGCAUGAAGCCUGAGGUUCGAAUCCUCAGCACCA